CAGAAGAUGCAGAGGCCUCUGUCGCAUGGCGGGGAAAGUGAAAAAGCAUCUUGCGAUGCAGAUGGUCUUUCAACUCUGGUUGCAUCUAAGUGGGAACGCAGGUGGCUGGAAAUCAGCUCGGUUCACAGAGGGGCUUCGAACCUGACAACAUGCCUGGCGUGCUGUCAGUGCCCUGGGCCACCCUGGGACCGUAUCAGCUGGGAUAGAUCUGAGACUGGUACAUCUUCUGAAAAAGAGUAAGAAAUGUCAAUCUUGAGAAGGAUUUGAACGCUAGAGGUUUCUGUAGUCGUGUGAUUUCACUACUCAUGUACAUUAAGGUCUUGCUGAGACCAUAAAGAGGAAGGUCCCGGGCAGGUGGCUACAGCCGAGAGGCCAAAACACCCAGAAGAUGGAAGGCAGCUGUGGUCUGUGAGUAACGG